UACGUAGGGUGCAGGCGUUAAUCGGAAUUACUGGGCGUAAAGCGUGCGCAGGUGGUUUGUUAAGACAGGUGUGAAAUCCCCGGGCUCAACCUGGGAAUGGCGCUUGUUACUGGCAGACUGGAGUGUGGCAGAGGGGGGUGGAAUUCCAAGUGUAGCAGUGAAAUGCGUAGAUAUUUGGAGGAACACCGAUGGCGAAGGCAGCCCCCUGGGCUAACACUGACGCUCAUGCACGAAAGCGUGGGGAGCAAACAGG
rnacentral:rRNA from 1 species